AUGCUCUGGUUUUUCUUUAAUAUCCUGCUAAUCUUUCACCUUUUACUGAUGAUUAACGUGGAGAAGAACAACCUAAUGAGUCUUAUCCAAUCAAUGUUCUCAGUAUUUGUGCGAUG